CACGGUUCGAGAAGAGAAAUCCGUCUAUUCUAGACCAGAGGCGGUUGGGUGAGUAAUACUUAGGAAUCUACCUAGUAGUGGGGGAUAGCUCGGGGAAACUCGAAUUAAUACCGCAUACGACCUACGGGAGAAAGGGGGCAACUUGUUGCUCUCGCUAUUAGAUGAGCCUAAGUCGGAUUAGCUAGAUGGUGGGGUAAAGGCCUACCAUGGCGACGAUCUGUAGCUGGUCUGAGAGGAUGAUCAGCCACACCGGGACUGAGACACGGCCCGGACUCCUACGGGAGGCAGCAGUGGGGAAUAUUGGACAAUGGGGGCAACCCUGAUCCAGCCAUGCCGCGUGUGUGAAGAAGGCCUUUUGGUUGUAAAGCACUUUAAGCAGUGAAGAAGACUCCAUGGUUAAUACCCAUGGACGAUGACAUUAGCUGCAGAAUAAGCACCGGCUAACUCUGUGCCAGCAGCCGCGGUAAUACAGAGGGUGCAAGCGUUAAUCGGAAUUACUGGGCGUAAAGCGAGCGUAGGUGGCUUGAUAAGUCAGAUGUGAAAGCCCCGGGCUUAACCUGGGAACGGCAUCUGAUACUGUUAGGCUAGAGUAGGUGAGAGGAAGGUAGAAUUCCAGGUGUAGCGAUGAAAUGCGUAGAGAUCUGGAGGAAUACCGAUGGCGAAGGCAGCCUUCUGGCAUCAUACUGACACUGAGGUCGAAAGCGUGGGUAGCAAACAGGAUUAGAUACCCUGGUAGUCCACGCCGAAACCGAUGUCUACUACUCGUUGGGUCCCUUGAGGACUUAGUGACGCAGCUACGCAUUUACUAGACCGCCUGGGGAGUCCGGCCCCAGGCUAAACUCAAUUGAAUGACGGGACCGCACAAGCGGGGAGAUGUGGUUUAUUCGAUGCAACACGAAAACUUACUGGUCUGGAAAACUC
rnacentral:rRNA from 1 species